GCGUGCGGUGGCGUCCGGCCCGAGCGCCCGCCAAGGCGCGGCGGCCAGCUCGUCGGUGCGCCGUUCGACGCGGUCACGCGCG
rnacentral:tRNA from 1 species